UACGUAGGGUGCAAGCGUUUGUCCGGAAUCAUUGGGCGUAAAGAGCGUGUAGGCGGCUCGAUUAGUCCGCUGUAAAAAGUCCAGGGCUCAACCCUGGGAUGCCGGUGGAAACUGUCGGGCUAGAGUCCGGGAGAGGCGAGUGGAAUUCCUGGUGUAGCGGUGAAAUGCGCAGAUAUCAGGAGGAACACCAAUGGCGAAGGCAGCUCGCUGGAACGGUACUGACGCUGAGACGCGAAAAGCGUGGGGGAGCAAAACAGG
rnacentral:rRNA from 1 species